CCUACGGGUGGCUGCAGUGAGGAAUAUUGGUCAAUGGGCGCUAGCCUGAACCAGCCAAGUAGCGUGAAGGAUGACUGCCCUAUGGGUUGUAAACUUCUUUUAUAUGGGAAUAAAGUGCAGUAUGUAUACUGCUUUGCAUGUACCUUAUGAAUAAGGAUCGGCUAACUCCGUGCCAGCAGCCGCGGUAAUACGGAGGAUGCGAGCGUUAUCCGGAUUUAUUGGGUUUAAAGGGUGCGUAGGCGGAGCGUUAAGUCAGUGGUCAAAUUGAGGGGCUCAACCCCUUCCCGCCAUUGAAACUGGCGCUCUUGAGUGGAAGAGAAGUAUGCGGAAUGCGUGGUGUAGCGGUGAAAUGCAUAGAUAUCACGCAGAACCCCGAUUGCGAAGGCAGCAUGCCGGCUUCCUACUGACGCUGAAGCACGAAAGCGUGGGGAUCGAACAGGAUUAGAUACCCUGGUAGUC
rnacentral:rRNA from 1 species